rnacentral:rRNA from 1 species
AACGAACGUUGGCGGCGUGGAUUAGGCAUGCAAGUCGAGCGGGAUUCUUAAUUUUCAAUUCUUCGGAAGAGAAGUUUUAGAUGAGAGCGGCGAACGGGUUAGUAAUAAAUGGGUAAUUUGCCUCUUUGUUCGGAAUAGCCACCGGAAACGGUGAUUAAUGCCGGAUGUGUUCGGGAACUGCAUAGUUCCCUAUGUAAAGGCGGGGAUUCUUCGGAACCUGUCGCAAAGAGAUAAGCCCAUUUCCUAUCAGCUUGUUGGUGAGGUAAUGGCUCACCAAGGCUUACGGGUAGUUGGUCUGAGAGGAUGAUCAGCAACACUGGGAUUGAGACACUGCCCAG